rnacentral:rRNA from 1 species
AUUGAACGCUGGCGGCAGGCCUAACACAUGCAAGUCGAACGAAUGGCGGACGGGUGAGUAAUGUCUGGGAAACAGCCUGACGGAGGGGGAUAACUACAGGAAACGGUAGCUAAUAACGCUUACCAUCAGAUGUGCCCAGAUGGGAUUAGCUUGUUGGUGGGGUUACGGCUCACCCAGGCGACGAUCCCUACAGGGUCUGGGAGGAUGACCAGCCACACUCGAACUGAGACACGUCCCAUACUCCUAGGGUAGGCAGCAGGGGGGAAUAUUGCACAAUGUGCGCAAGCCUUAUGCAGCCAUUCCGCGUGUAUUAAGAAGGCCUUCGGGUUGUAAAGUUCUUUCAGCGGGGAGGCGUUACCCGCAGAAGUAGCACCGGCUAACUCCGUGCCGGCCGCCGCGGUAAUUC